GACGAACGCUGGCGGUGUGCUUAACACAUGCAAGUCGAACGGUAAGGCCCUUUCGGGGGUACACGAGUGGCGAACGGGUGAGUAACACGUGAGUAACCUGCCCUCAUCUCUGGGAUAACAGUCGGAAACGGUUGCUAAUACUGGAUAUGAGCUUGCAAGGCAUCUUGUGGGUUGGAAAGAUUUUUUUUGGUUGGGGAUGGACUCGCGGCCUAUCAGCUUGUUGGUGGGGUAGUGGCUCACCAAGGCUUCGACGGGUAGCCGGCCUGAGAGGGCGACCGGCCACAUUGGGACUGAGAUACGGCCCAAACUCCUACGGGAGGCAGCAGUGGGGAAUAUUGCACAAUGGACGGAAGUCUGAUGCAGCAACGCCGCGUGCGGGAUGACGGCCUUCGGGUUGUAAACCGCUUUCAAUUGUGACGAAGCUUUUUUGUGACGGUAGCAGUAGAAGAAGCACCGGCUAACUACGUG
rnacentral:rRNA from 1 species